UCACGGACGGCAAAAAAAACGUCAUAAGUCUUGCGAGUUUGGCGAAGACAAACUCGGUAUGAAAAUUGCACACGGAGGUGCAAUUCCCAUACCGA
rnacentral:ncRNA from 1 species